UACGUAGGGUGCGAGCGUUAAUCGGAAUUACUGGGCGUAAAGGGUGCGCAGGCGGCUCUGUAAGUCAGAUGUGAAAUCCCCGGGCUUAACCUGGGAAUUGCGUUUGAAACUACAGGGCUAGAGUGUAGCAGAGGGGGGUGGAAUUCCAUGUGUAGCAGUGAAAUGCGUAGAGAUGUGGAGGAAUACCGAUGGCGAAGGCAGCCCCCUGGGCCAAUACUGACGCUCAUGCACGAAAGCGUGGGGAGCAAACAGG
rnacentral:rRNA from 1 species